UACGUAGGGGGCAAGCGUUGUCCGGAUUCAUUGGGCGUAAAGAGCGUGUAGGCGGCCAGGUAGGUCGGUUGUGAAAACUGGAGGCUCAACCUUCAGAGGUCGACCGAAACCAUCUGGCUAGAGUCCGGGAGAGGAGAGUGGAAUUCGUGGUGUAGCGGUGAAAUGCGCAGAUAUCAGGAAGAACACCCGUGGCGAAAGCGGCUCUCUGGAACGGUACUGACGCUGAGACGCGAAAGCGUGGGGAGCGAACAGG
rnacentral:rRNA from 1 species